rnacentral:rRNA from 1 species
GUAGUCUCGCACAGAUGCAUAUCAAUAAGCGGAGGAAAAGAAACUAACAAGGAUUCCCCUAGUAACGGCGAGUGAAGCGGGAAGAGCUCAAAUUUGAAAUCUUAAAGGGUUUCCCUUUACGAAUUGUAGUUUAAAGAAGCUGUUUUCUGUUGAGGUUUUGGUAAAAGUUCUUUGGAAUAGGACAUCAUAGAGGGUGAGAAUCCCGUAUUUGACCUUUACUUUCAACUUUGUGAUACACUUUCAAAGAGUCGGAUUGUUUGGGAAUGCAGUCCAAAAUGGGUGGUAAAUUUCAUCUAAAGCUAAAUAUUGGCGAGAGACCGAUAGCGAACAAGUACCGUGAGGGAAAGAUGAAAAGAACUUUGAAAAGAGAGUUAAACAGUACGUGAAAUUGUCAAAAGGGAAGCGUUUGACACCAGUGUUGUUUUUCUGAAAAUCAAUUAAAGAACUGUUUAUGCUAAGCUGUUUAGACUUUAUCAGCUAAUCUGUUUAGUUUUGAGCUUUUCUUUAAUGCACUUUUCAGUUAACAAGUCAACAUCAAUUUCUUUUGCUGUAAAAAAGCUUGAGGAAGGUGGCUUGAGAUUCGUCUUAAGUGUUUAUAGCCUCUUGCCUAUGCAGUCGGAGAGAUUGAGGUCUGCAGCGUAGAUCCUUCGGGGCUAAAUGCAUUUGUGCUAAGUUAUAACAUUUUAUAGACAACUUGUUGACUAUGAUUUGUCUUGUAGCUUACUCGCUUAUGUUAUUUUACCUACGCUUAGGAUGUUGAUCUGUAGUGCGUGCGC